rnacentral:rRNA from 1 species
AAGUUUGAUCAUGGCUCAGAUUGAACGCUGGCGGCAUGCCUAACACAUGCAAGUCGAACGAACUCUUCGGAGUUAGUGGCGCACGGGUGCGUAACGCGUGGGAAUCUGCCCCUUGGUUCGGAAUAACAGUUAGAAAUGACUGCUAAUACCGGAUGAUGUCUUCGGACCAAAGAUUUAUCGCCAAGGGAUGAGCCCGCGUAGGAUUAGGUAGUUGGUGGGGUAAAGGCCUACCAAGCCGACGAUCCUUAGCUGGUCUGAGAGGAUGAUCAGCCACACUGGGACUGAGACACGGCCCAGACUCCUACGGGAGGCAGCAGUGGGGAAUAUUGGACAAUGGGGGAAACCCUGAUCCAGCAAUGCCGCGUGAGUGAUGAAGGCCUUAGGGUCGUAAAGCUCUUUUACCAGGGAUGAUAAUGACAGUACCUGGAGAAUAAGCUCCGGCUAACUCCGUGCCAGCAGCCGCGGUAAUACGGAGGGAGCUAGCGUUGUUCGGAAUUACUGGGCGUAAAGCGUGCGUAGGCGGUUAUUCAAGUCAGAGGUGAAAGCCCGGGGCUCAACCCCGGAACGGCCUUUGAAACUAGAUAACUAGAAUCUUGGAGAGGUCAGUGGAAUUCCGAGUGUAGAGGUGAAAUUCGUAGAUAUUCGGAAGAACACCAGUGGCGAAGGCGACUGACUGGACAAGUAUUGACGCUGAGGUAC